CAGCAGCCGCGGGAAUACGGAGGGUGCAAGCGUUAUCCGGAUUUAUUGGGUUUAAAGGGUCCGUAGGCGGAUCUGUAAGUCAGUGGUGAAAUCUCACAGCUUAACUGUGAAACUGCCAUUGAUACUGCAGGUCUUGAGUAAAUUUGAAGUGGCUGGAAUAAGUAGUGUAGCGGUGAAAUGCAUAGAUAUUACUUAGAACACCAAUUGCGAAGGCAGGUCACUAAGAUUUAACUGACGCUGAUGGACGAAAGCGUGGGGAGCGAACAGGAUUAGAUACCCCUGUAGUCCCUGUCUCUUAUAC
rnacentral:rRNA from 1 species